rnacentral:rRNA from 1 species
ACGGGAGGCAGCAGUAGGGAAUAUUGCACAAUGGGGGGAACCCUGAUGCAGCAACGCCACGUGUGGGAAGAAGCAUUUCGGUGUGUAAACCACUGUCGUGAAGGAAUAAUGCCUGGUUUCGGCCAGGUUGAAUGUACUUUGAAAGGAAGCACCGGCAAACUUCGUGCCAGCAGCCGCGGUAAUACGAGGGGUGCAAGCGUUGUUCGGAAUCACUGGGCGUAAAGGGAGCGCAGGCGGAAGUGCAAGCGGUCUGUACAAUGCCGGGGCCCAACCCGGACCUGCAGACCGGACUGCAUUUCUUGGAUAGUUCAGGGGCGAGCGGAAUUCCUGGUGUAGCGGUGGAAUGCGUAGAGAUCAGGAAGAACACCGAUGGCGAAGGCAGCUUGCUGGGGACUUAUCGACGCUCAUGCUCGAAAGUGCGGGUAGCAAACAGGAUUAGAUACCCUGGUA